CUCUGGCCCAGGGCAGAUUCAGAAAUGCUGUCCAAGAGCCAAGGCCUGGAAUUAGGGACCCUAAGGGCCCGCUUGGUGUUUUACUCCACUGUGGUUGAGCUGGUACCUAAGCUGCAAGACAAAGUCCCUUUUAUUCUUCUCUCUCCAUUUCUCAAGAAGAAGGAGGCUUUCCCCAUAUCUCCCACAACUCGGAAUGUGCUGGAUCAUACGGGAAUCCAGCAUGUCUCUGAGUCUCACUCAAAGCCUAUGGUGAGUGCUAUCUGGGUACCACUGCUGACUAUUCAGGGCCCAAAGGUUUUUUAGUCAGCUGUGGAUAAUUCUUGACAGGACUGGAUCCUUCCCUUCAAAAGAGCAGGUUCCCUUCUGCGCCAGUGUGUGCCUAGAAAUGUUGUACAGAAGCUAGGUUCUGGAAUGGAGGCCUCAUGACUCUGCCCAGUGCCCUAUCCUACUGUGGUGGAACUGGUAUCCAAGUUGCAAGACAAAGUUCUUUUUACUCUUCCCUCUCCUCUCAUUAAGCAGAAAGAAGUCUCUCCUGGAGCUGCAAGCUGCACUGCCGGGGGUUGGGGAGGGGUGAUGCAAGCAUUCCCUUGGCCACCCCGGCUGGUGUCUCACAAGGUUGCAUGCCACCAACAUCCGCUGGCUUUGAAUCCAACACAGCACCAGGACUUGCCCAGGAAUUGCAGUCCCUGUUGCCUUUCAAGUUUAUUUAGGACUUCAGAGUACUUUAACCCACAAUGGGAGAAUGAUUGGUGAAGGCUUCUAUUUGGUCAACUUGCUCUGUCUUUAUAGCCAAUUUAUAUUGAUAAGAGUUUCUCUCUAGAUACCAUUUGCGGUAUUCCUGAGUCAGAAGAGAGGAAAGGUGAUACUGCCACCCCCUGGAGUCGUCUCUCAAGAGGACUUGAUCUCUGGCCUGUGAACUGCCCCACAUGUUUCUUCUGCACAUCCUGACUCCCAGGCCUGCACAGGGGACUUCUGCACAGGCCUGACUCCCAGGCCUGACAUUUUCUGGUCUGUCUUCGCCAUGGUCUGCUAUCAACUGCAGUUUUGAAUUCUGGUUUCUCUUAUUCUUUGUCUCUAGGCAAGUCAACAGGUUCAGCAGCCAGAGUCCUAUCCUGUACUUCUCUUCACGUUGCAGACAUCCACGAAAGAGUGAGACUGUUUUCGGUUGGAUUGAAGAGCAAAUGUGUGGAAGGCACCAAGGUUUGUGUGUAAAUGUGGUGAGUGGGGCCAAGGAGAACUUCUGCACUUCUGCCAGGAGGAAUUAGGAGGCUGAGCAAGACAGACCGCCUGGUCAGUGUGGAGGCGUUGAACUGUGCUAUGUGAGACUGAUAACAUUUGGCUCUUGUCUAAUGAGCCCACCUGGCCACACUGGGGAAUUGAAGAAUCUAGUGACUAGAGGGUACCCACGUAUAGGUUAUCCAUAAGAAUUCCCAAAUAUUGAAGAAGCUUAAAAAGUGUGUUAAACAGUCCUUUCUGCCCAGAGAUCAAAGGCAGCUGAAAGAUCUAUAUUGGAUAUCCUGAUCUAUUCUUCAGUCUCAAUGGAUUCAGCUCCCUUGGAAAUGCUUUUUUGUGCAUGAGCAAUCACUUGUAUCUGAGACUUUCUGAGUCAUUGAUUAGUGCGGGUUUGCAUCAUCAGAUACAGCUUGAAACCAAUCUUUAGAAUGUUUCCCAGUCAUCUUUUUGUGAUUUUAUGAUGGCAAGAAUUUACAUUCCUUCCCCGUCCCAUGACUGGUAUGUGUGUUCUAGGAAAAGUUGGCAUUGGUUCUAUCUGGAUGUAUUGAUGCUGCUGUUUUGGGGGAAUAUCCAGUGCCAGAAAAUGCCUGGAACACCCUGAUCCAGUGGGAGGGUGUUAAACCCUAAUGGGUCUAUGCCAUUGUCAAUGUUCAGCAGGCCAGAUGCCUUUGGAGGGAGAAGGUCAGGGGUUUGGACCUUUGGGGUUAACCACCACUCAAUAAUUUCCUACAGUCAAAGACUCACUUCUCUCUACUGAUUACACUCCCACUACCAUUUUGCACUAAAGUACAAGUGCAGAUUAAGUGAGUUAUUCAGUUGGUUGCAACAGCAUACCACUACAGGGGUAGCUGGUCUUCUAAACAGAGCUUGGGAUAUUA
rnacentral:lncRNA from 1 species